rnacentral:rRNA from 1 species
UAGUGUAUUGGACUACCAUGGCUAUCACGGGUAACGGAGAAUUAGGGUUCGAUUCCGGAGAGGGAGCCUGAGAAAUGGCUACCACAUCUAAGGAUGGCAGCAGGCGCGAAAAUUGCCCAAUCCCGAUUCGGGGAGGCAGUGACAAGAAAUAACAACCCAGGACUAGUUCCAGGGAUUGCAAUGAGAACAACUUAAAAACCUUAUCGAGCAACAACUGGAGGGCAAGUUCUGGUGCCAGCAGCCGCGGUAAUUCCAGCUCCAGUAGCGUAUAUUAAAGUUGCUGCAGUUAAAAAGCUGGUAGUUGAAUUUCUGCUUGUUAGAGUCAAGUUGGUAAGGACGAGAUUUCUUCGAGCAUCUGUUUGCAAACAUAUGUUCGGUCUUCAUUGAUUGACUAUGUGAGCAAACGUUUUACCUUGAGAAAAUUAGAGUGUUCCAGGCAGGCUUCGGCCGGAAUACAUUAGCAUGGAAUAAUGGAAUAGGACUGGGGACUAUUUUUGGUUUGAGGCUCCAGUAAUGAUUAAUAGGAACAGUCGGGGGCAUUAGUACUUGACAGUCAGAGGUGAAAUUCUUGGAUUUGUCAAAGACUAACUAAUGCGAAAGCAUUUGCCAAGCAGGUUUUCAUUAAUCAUGAACGAAAGUUAGGGGAUCAAAGACGAUC